ACAAUGACCCCAAGAUACGACACAAAAAGGGAGCUGUCCUUCUACAAGUGCUUGAUCAACUGAUUUAUGGAAAGAAGUUCAGAAUAUGAAGUGCAACAAGGGUAUGUCCAACACACUUUCUGUGACACUUGUCUUUGAAUGCAAAGGAUGUCCAAGAUUCCAGUGAUUGUAACAAGUCAAUAUGAUUACCUGAAAAAGUGUCACAAGUACAGUCUGCAGAGACAAGCACUUCUAUCAUUGAGGGAAAGUCUGCAUUGUCAAGUUCUUUGCAUAGACAGAAAAGAGAUAAGCAAUGGGGUGUA